CCUACGGGUGGCAGCAGUGGGGAAUAUUGGACAAUGGGCGCAAGCCUGAUCCAGCCAUGUCGCGUGAGUGAUGAAGGUCUUCGGAUCGUAAAGCUCUGUGGGAAGGGAAGAAAAAAGUAUACCUCAUACGUAUGCUCUUGACGGUACCUUCUUAGCAAGCACCGGCUAACUCUGUGCCAGCAGCCGCGGUAAUACAGAGGGUGAAAACGUUGCUCGGAAUUAUUGGGAGUAAAGCUGAUGAGUCCGAUGUGAAAGCCCUCGGCUUAACCGAGGAAGUGCAUCCGAAACUGCCAGGCUUGAGUAUGGAAGAGGGUCUCGGAAUUCCCGGUGUAGAGGUGAAAUUCGUAGAUAUCGGGAGGAACACCAGUGGCGAAGGCGGAGACCUGGGCCAAUACUGACGCUGAGGUGCGAAAGCGUGGGGAGCAAACAGGAUUAGAUACCCCAGUAGUC
rnacentral:rRNA from 1 species